UACGUCUAGGAAAGGAAGCUUGCCGUUUUCUUCUCGCUCCAGAGUGAAUUUUAUGCCAAUGCCAUACAACCGACCAUAAAAUUCACUCUGGAGCGAGAAGAAAACGGCAAGCUUCCUUUCCUAGACGUA
rnacentral:pre_miRNA from 1 species